rnacentral:rRNA from 1 species
CUCCUACGGGAGGCAGCAGUGAGGAAUAUUGGUCAAUGGGCGAGAGCCUGAACCAGCCAAGUAGCGUGAAGGAUGACUGCCCUAUGGGUUGUAAACUUCUUUUAUAAAGGAAUAAAGUCGGGUAUGCAUACCCGUUUGCAUGUACUUUAUGAAUAAGGAUCGGCUAACUCCGUGCCAGCAGCCGCGGUAAUACGGAGGAUCCGAGCGUUAUCCGGAUUUAUUGGGUUUAAAGGGAGCGUAGAUGGAUGUUUAAGUCAGCGGUGAAAGUCUGUGGCUCAACCAUAGAAUUGCCGUUGAAACUGGGGGGCUUGAGUAUGUUUGAGGCAGGCGGAAUGCGUGGUGUAGCGGUGAAAUGCUUAGAUAUCACGCAGAACCCCGAUUGCGAAGGCAGCCUGCCAAGCCAUGACUGACGCUGAUGCACGAAAGCGUGGGGAUCAAACAGGAUUAGAUACCCUGGUAGUCCACGCAGUAAACGAUGAUCACUAGCUGUUUGCGAUACAGUGUAAGCGGCACAGCGAAAGCGUUAAGUGAUCCACCUGGGGAGUACGCCGGCAACGGUGAAACUCAAAGGAAUUGACGGGGGCCCGCACAAGCGGAGGAACAUGUGGUUUAAUUCGAUGAUACGCGAGGAACCUUACCCGGGUUUGAACGCAUUUCGACCGCUCUGGAAACAGAGCCUCUAGCAAUAGCGAUUUGCGAGGUGCUGCAUGGUUGUCGUCAGCUCGUGCCGUGAGGUGUCGGCUUAAGUGCCAUAACGAGCGCAACCCUUGCCACUAGUUACUAACAGGUAAAGCUGAGGACUCUGGUGGGACUGCCAGCGUAAGCUGCGAGGAAGGCGGGGAUGACGUCAAAUCAGCACGGCCCUUACAUCCGGGGCGACACACGUGUUACAAUGGCGUGGACAAAGGGAUGCCACCUGGCGACAGGGAGCGAAUCCCCAAACCACGUCUCAGUUCGGAUCGGAGUCUGCAACCCGACUCCGUGAAGCUGGAUUCGCUAGUAAUCGCGCAUCAGCCAUGGCGCGGUGAAUACGUUCCCGGGCCUUGUACACACCGC